GCGGGUGUAGUUUAAUGGUAGAACAAGAGCCUUCCAAGCUUUUAGCGUGAGUUCGAUUCUCAUCACCCGCUCCA
rnacentral:tRNA from 1 species